CCACUCGCUAAUCACAACGUUAAUUUUGUGAGGUGCAAAAAAAUAGAAAACCCUUUUUUUUCUCACUUUUUAACUACUUAAGACUGUGUCGUUUCACUAAAACCUGAUCUAAGCAAUUAAUUGUCGCAUUAAAGGCGAAACCCUCUGAGAGAAACCUUAACGUGCAGCCAAGAAGUUUGUUUGCAAACACCACCACAGUGUGGAAAAAAACCUCUUUUUGCAUCAGUUGAUGCCUGAGGUAACAAACCGCAUUUAAUUAACUAAUACUAAACAAAAGUGGUUGGCAGCUAAAAACUCGCAAUGUAAACCAACCAUACCCGGUUAAUUGCCAGUGAAGGCAUCCAUGAUGUCUGCCACCGCAGAGGGUGAGUUUUCAGCCCUACAGUUUGAAAAAUCCCUACUGAACCUGAAAGACUCUCAAGAUAGUAUCAAUCAGUGUUGCCAGUGGUGCCUCAAGAACAGGCAGCACUAUAAAAAAAUUGUGAAUUCUUGGCUGAAUGUGCUGAAACGAGUGAAAAUCGAACAGAGGUUAACUCUGUUUUAUUUGGCCAACGAUGUGGUGCAGUACUCGAAAAGGAGAAAUUAUGAAUAUGUGGACACAUGGGGCACUGCUAUACAAAAAGCUACCACAAUGGUCAGGGACGAGAAGGUAAAACACAAAAUAUUGAGGAUAUUUAAAAUAUGGGAACAAAGGGGCGUUUACGGUGAAGAAUUCAUCUCGGACCUGUGCGGGCUCAUCAGCAUUCAACCCACCGGACCCAAGAAUGAUGAACCUCACGAAUUUCAGGCAAAUUAUGUUAUCAACAAAAUCAAGCACUGCGCCAACUUGGAAAAGGACACCGAUAAUAAACUGAAAGUCCUCAAAGAACACAACCCGAAAAUUCAAAUUAGCGAGGGCCUAAUAAACACCCUUAAAGAUAGGGCCCAUGUGGACGAUGUGGAAAAAGAAAUGGACGUCUAUGUAGCCCAUAUGGAGAGUUAUGUGAACGCUUUAAAGUUGGAAAUCAAAAACCGGAUAGCGCUGAUUUCUACCCUUAGGCAAGCGGAAAGUCAUUUGGAGUCCGAUAGGAAAGACGUGAAAAUGGUGGCACAUGCUUAUAGAACCUUCGGACAAAAAGUGAAAAUCUUCGAGAAAAAACUGGAAGAGCACAUGGUCAAUUUGCCGUCUCCGUUGCCUUCGCCGGACAUCAACGCCCCCUCUCCCAGUCCCGAGGAGGACAUUGAGUUGCCCGAGGACGACGUGGUCUCAAAACCGUUUUCCAGUUCUUACCUGGACUUAUCGGCCAUCCAGUAUAGUAAUCCAGGGUUUUAUGUGCCUCCCCCGGUGAAUAACAGUCAGCAAACCAACUCUAGCACCAGUUAUAACCCGAAUUACAGCGUCACCUACAGUAGCAGCCUUAAUAGUACGACUGUUAAUAAUAGCGCCGGAGAUUCUAGCGGGGGUUUCCUUAGCAAUGGAUUCACGAGUUUCUUGGGUCAAAAUUUGUCCUUUGAUAUAUCCAACAUAAGUACUACGGGGCUUUUCGACACCACCACGACCACCACGGAUAACACCCAAACUACCAACAGUUACGUGACGACGCCCAAUGCGGUUGUGGGGGCGGCGGCGCCGCCCACGCCGGUCGCCCCCCCGAUCAUCGUCGAUCUGACCGAAAGCGACAACACGCCGCCGUAUAAUCCGUUAUUGCCGCCCCCCAUGCCGCCCUUUUCCAAAAACAACGAGUCCGGUUUCAGUUUUAAUACCACUCUGGACAUGAACGCGACUACUGGGAGUUACGAUCCGGCGUUUCAAGGUAGUUACGCAGACGGAACGUACGGUAACGAGACGUUGAACAACGGCACGUUAAAUAACGGCGGCGGUGCCGGGGGCGGCGGCGAGUACGAUUAUCAGCUGCAAACCGGGAUGAAUCCGUUUCCGCCCACGCCGGAGGGCGGCGCGUUGGGGGCGACUGAGUCGUACGAUCCCGCCUGCGUGACGGAGACGUGGGGCGACCUGGACGUGACGGUGGACUGGAAGGGCGGCGACGACGGCUUGUUGGACACCCCCGAGAGUCCGCCCAAUUUUGAGAAAGAGGGUUAUGGCGAUCCGGUGGAGUACCACGAUUCGUCGAUGAGGAGUGGAGGCGGCGUUGCCGAUAUAGACCAAAGAAUCUUGCCCGGAAUGGGAGAUUUGGAAGAUCUCUCCUUGGCGAGCCUGAGGGGCCAAGACGUGGAUCACCGGAACCUCAUCAGCCUGACGGGGUCCCCGAGUAACGUGGACGCCCUUUUGACGCCCCCUAAUGAAAAACCGGCCGCUCUACCGGCCAGGGGUAACUUGACCCGGAUCACUCCUCAGGAGUCCUUGUGGGACAAUUUAGACCAAGACUAUCGGCAAGCGGCGCCGCCAAUAGUGCCGCCCAAAGAACCGUCACCGCCGCCGCCCCUGCCGGCCGUCGACCAAGACUACCGUCUACAGUUCGCGGGGUUGGAGGCGCCGCCUCCGCCCCCACCGCCGCCGCCUCUCCCGGGCGUCAAGUCGCCGACGAAACGGCGACCGCCGCCCCCGCCGCCUUUGCCCGCCCCCGGGGCGCCCGGCGAUCCGCGCCUGCGUUGCGGCGACCCCUCCAAGAGGAGCGACGAUGACGUCGACGACGUCGACAUGGACAUUAGCGAGGACGUCGAGCAAAUCGGAAACGAUUUAGAUGGCAGCGUGUACAGUUUGGAACCGCCGCCCCCACUUCCUGACCUCCUGGACGACGUCGACGCCAACCAAUUCCUCGACGAAAUAUCGCACGACUUGAACGAGUUUAGUAAUUUGUCGGAGGAAGCGGAGGGGCCGAACGAACCCGAGGCGGACAAUCGGAAACGAUCGGGGCAGUUUAUGGGGCCGCCGCCGCCGCCGCCCCCCGUGACCUUCGGAAUGGCCGGGUUUCCGCCCCCGCCGCCCCGGAUGGCCUCUCAGGGAUAUAUGUCGAUGAAUCAGCCACCCGGACCGCCGCCCCGCAUCGGCCAUCAACCCCACGCGCCGCCCCCGAUACCACCGCCCGCGGGCGGGCCGCCCCAUUGGGACAACCGAGGCGGUCCGCCGCCCCACUGGACGGGCGGCCGCCCCCCCGCCUUUAAUAACGACGACGACAAUCCGUACUUGCACGACGACUUCGGCGGGCCGCCCCACAAUUUCGGCCCGCCCAAUAAUAGUUUCCGAGGGGGCGGGGGCGGUUUCAAUCAUAAUCAUAAUAAAAUGAAUAAUAAUGGGAUUAAUAUGCGAGGUGGGUUUAGGGGGGGCGGUAGUUGGGGUAGAGGUCCAUGGAAGGAUCGCGGCCGUGGAGGACGUGGAGGAGGCAGACGCGGAAUGGGAGGCGGUGCAGGUGGACCGCCGCCCCCACCGUUUAGAGGCAGAGGAGGUUUUUAUCGUGGGAGAGGCAGGUGAUGAUAUACGAACCCUCCGGCGGGCCGGCUAUGUAAAUUCAAGGCUGUUUAAUGUGAACAUUGUGCGACGGAGAGAAACCAUGGCCAACGGACCUUCGGCUGACGUCACGCAGCCUGUUGACUAUGGUAUGACCAAUUUUAGAUAUGACAGGAAGCAGACUCACGGGCCUCAGAUCUGUAGAACCGACAAGAUCAAAUUUUUUAGGCAACGAAGUGACGAGAGAUUCUUUCCAGAGUUGAAGGAAAUGCCCAUCCAAGGUGUUAUUAUUAUGUUAUUUUAGUAUCAAACUGGUUUGAUUUUUUAAAUACAUUGCAAAAAGACUUAUUUAUCUCUCUAACAUUUAACAACUAGGGAGGGAUUAAACUCAUUGUACUUUUACGAAGAUAGACAAUAGGAUCGCUUAACUUUUACCAAACUUUACGUUAAUGUUUUCGCCACCAAAUAUUGUAAAUAAGCCAACUUUUCUCUACGUAGGUAUAGCGGCUUUAGUAAUAUUUCGAGGGAUUAUAUAGUUUUCAAAAUUUUCUGAAAUUUACAUCUAAGUUUAACCUUGUGUCUUUCCCCCAUUAUGCAUAAGUCCACCAUAAUGCAUACGGCUUUGGCACUCUAAUGGACCUCAAAGGAGCAUGUAUAUGAAAUAAAUACUUGAAAUUGUGAAUCAAAUAUUUCACUUUACGAUCUUUAUCGUAAAAGUAGUAAAGAUCAGUCCACUCUACCUCUUACUGAAGAUCAAGUAAAAAGUAUGCCCUGUAAAAAUCUUUAAAACCCUUGAAAAAAAACGCUACCCUUAUAAUUAAAUAAUUUGUGAGUGCUUAAUCAAUAAUAUUGCUGAAUAUUUUACCAACAUUACUAAAAACACUGCUCGGAAUCUAUUUUAUUCAAAUUAUUACAGCCAAAUCGAGAAACCCAUUUUCUUCACCUGCAAAAUCACGGGAUAACUGCAUAAACUAUUGAAAGGAACAAAUUUAGCUGAUCAUUGUCAACAACACUAGAGCAUUUAACUUGUUUAUCUCCAAUGAAGAUCGAUGAUAAUUUUAAACAUGUGUCAAGGCAGAAAAUGAUCUUUCAACACUACAGUUUGAAACAAACAUUCUCAAUGCAAUGAAAAAAAUAUAAGUAUAACUUUCAAGUUAAACUUUCGCCAUAUCUGAUAUAUAUUCAUCAAUAAAGACAUUUAUUAUCAUAUACUUUUUCCAUACUUAUAUUGUCCCAGGCCAUGACCUUUAUGCAUUCAAAUAAUACAUCUUAAACCAAAUAUAUAUUAUACACAAUGGAGCAUAGCUCUGUGUGUGUAUAAGGGUAUCUAAUUACUUUAAUAUAUAUUCUAUUUUUUAUAAUAUAAUAAAUUUUAAUAAUUUAUAUACUACAUCACUUGCAUUUGGCACUACUGCCAUGUUGAGGGUCCAUGAUUUAUCAAGUUUAGAUGUAUUUUUGUUUUUAAGAUAAACCUUACUAUAGACUUAAUAUAAAUCUGGUUUACUGUCGACACUUCUGCAUCUUUAAAUAAUUGAAUUCAAGAGUACAUCUUAUUUUUAUUAUGAAUGAUCUAUAGUAAGUAUUUUUAAGUAAUAAUUAAUGGCUCUAGCCCCUAGACAAGAUGCAAUAGUGCAGUAUAGAUAUAAGUAGUUUAAUACACUAAUUUUUAGAGUUUUUAACUUCAUAAACUUGUGCAACUGAUAAAAUUUGUAAAUUAAUUGUUAAAAAAAAAAAAAAAUAUACUGCGAGUUGCUACCUCAACAGUAUCAUCGAUUGCCGAUAGUUCGCAAGUAAGGUGGAAUGCAACGUUUAGCAAUUUAAGUAUGUUAAGUAUAUUUUUAAUAAUUAUGUUCUGCUUAUGAAUGUAUAAUAGCACACUGUAUGUAUGUAUUAUAGCACAUGUUGCUAAAUAAAUAUAUAUUAUUAUUA